CGCAAACCCAGUCAGUUACUGGCAACAAGUGGCUGGUUUCCUCUCUGGGUUUUGGUGUGGAAUGUCUGUGUAUUGUUUGGCACAAUCAAGUUCUGUGAAGAGGUGCUAAUCACUUCAGCCUGGCAGCAUUUAGCACCUCUCUGGUGGUGCUAAGCACAAUUCAUUAAAGUGGCAUUUGGAGAUGGUGGUGGCCAUGGAAGACAUUGUUGUGUUCCUCCUUUCCAGGAAAGGGGAUAGUUACUUCGUUCACACCUAUUUGGUUUAGAUCUUUAUCCUCUUUCACCUGGUGGCUAUUACGGAUGACAUCUGAAAAUGGGUAUAGGUUGUGUGUCUGUGCCUUCAAAUUGCCUGUCGAUUUAUGAUGACCCCAUGAAUUACAUGGGGAUUUUAAGGCAAUUUUGCCAGUUUCUUUAUAAGGCUAAAGGCCUUGUAAAACUAUAAUUAUUUAUUAUUUAUUUAAAGUAUUUAUAUUCGGGACUUCUCACCCUGCAGGACUCAGGGCGGAGCACAACAUAUAUAAGGCAAGCAUUCAAUGCUGUAUAACUCCCACUUUCUAAUGCAUUGAACUGCAGCAGUUAAAGUGGUAUCGAACUGCAUUAAUUCUAUAGUGUAGAUAAACCCAUUGUCUCUAACUAUUUUUCAUAUGUGUUAAUAGACUAUUGAUCCUGCCAUCUUUUCCCACCAACAUUGGACCACCAAGAAAUACCAAAUUCUCUGGAUUGUAUUUCAGAGAAAGGAACUGGCAAAACGACCCUUGAAUGAUCCUUGUCUGAGAAAACCCAGUGAAAUCCCUGAGGUCCCAUAAGUAAACAGGCGAUGUGAAGGCACAUAAACAUAACCUUCCCUGAAUUAGUGAGAUAAGCUCAGUAGUAAACAAUUUAGAGAAAAAACCAGAAAUGUGUUCUUGACAACGGGACUGCAAUCUAGCAUAGAGAUGGAUUAGUCAGUAGGUACAGUAGAGUCUCACUUAUCCAAGCUAAAUGGGCUGUCAGAACCUUGGAUAAGCGAGUAUCUUGGAUAAUAAGGAGGGAUUAAUGAAAAGCCUAUUAAACAUCAAAUUAGGUUAUGAUUUUACAAAUUAAGCACCAAAACAUCAUGUUAUACAACAAAUUUGACAGAAAAAGUAGUUCAAUACGCAGUAAUGUUAUGUUGUAAUUACUGUAUUUAUGAAUUUAGCACCAAAAUAUCACGAUAUAUUGAAAACAUUGACUCCAAUGCAUUGGAUAAUCCAGAACCUUGGAUAAGCGAGUCUUGGAUAAAUGAGACUCUACUGUACUGAGUUUUGGAGCAGGCCUAUAUUCUUUCCAUGGGCAACUGGAGACUGAGAAUUAGGCAGGUUAUCUCAGUCUUCUAAACAGGAGGAGGGACUUUUGAUUCUCCACUUACAGUACUUUAGAUUUCAAGUUCCAGAAUUCCAAGUCAGCAGUGAUGAUAGGAGUGGAAGUUCAAAAUAUCUGGAUACUAAAGUUCUAAAGACAGUCUUCCCUCCAGAUGUGAUGGAUUACAACUCCCACCAAUUCCAGCCAGCGUUACCAUGCUAGAAGGUGGGGGGCAUUGACUUCAACAAAUCCAGAAGACACUAGGUUGGGAAAGUCUAUCCAAAGGAACUUUCAGUCCCACCUUCCUAACUCAUAACAGCAUUCCCUCUUUCCAACAAAGUUUGGGCAAUGUUUCAGUCCACAAAGAGGUAGUCAGGAAUUGAGCUUGUGAAGCACUGUUUUCUCCCAGAGAUCAAGGCUUAAGUUACUUAUUCACUCAGCCUGACCUCAAAGGUCCCUUGCUUUGCACCAGUGGAAGUUGGCACAGUAGUUCCAAAAAAAAAAAAAACCCCAAAAAACAGAGUGGACAUGUAAACUGUCUUAUAUGCUGUGCAGAAGCUUCAAAUCCCAUGUGAUGUUGCAUGAGAAUAUAUGCUUGCUGUCCCCAAAGCAUUUAAGACUGUUAAAUCCAGGCUCAAUAUGAGUUGCAAGAGAUGUUUGUUUAGCUGAUGCUGCUGAUCUGGUCACUGUGUCCCACAAGAGGACUUCUCAGCCCCCAGCAGGGCCGGCCCCAAGUAAUUUUCAAGUGUAAGCAAGGAGUAUUUCCCCCCUCCCAAAAUCAAGUGCUACUUCGCUCUUUCUCCCCCCUCCCGGCUUUGGAGGGGCGGUGGGAGGGCGAGGGAGCCGCAGCAGCUUCUGUUGUUUUCCUACACCGCGACCUGGAAGGCUCCAAAGCUGGGGGGGGGGGAACGAAGGAGCACUCGUCCCCAUGCCGCGAGGCCGUGGCGUGGGAAAACAACAGAAGCUGCUGCAGGGCCUCGCGGCGUGGGGAUGGGUGCUCCUUCACGCUCCCCACUGGCUUUGGAGAGGCGGUGGGAGGGCGAGGGAGCUGCAGCCGCUUCUGUUGUUUUCCCGGCUUUGAUGCUCCUUCACUCUUUCCCCUCCCGGCUUUGGAGGGGCGGUGGAAGCCCAGCAGAGAGAGAAGCGGAGGCAAGCAGGCCGGCUUGGAGGCAGGCUAAUUGCGCUCUCAGAGGCGCCUCAACUGCACCCCCUAGAGGAUUGUGCCUUCCACAAUUGCAUAGUUCGUGUAUAGCUUGAGCCACCCCUGGCCCCCAGGGUGCCCUGCAAGCCACAAAGUGGGAAUGCAGAAAUAAUCGCAAACUGGUCAUGACGACAGAGACCAGCAUAUUAGACAGAAUUUGUUCAUAUAUGCCUAUAUCCUAUUCUUACUCCCAACUAAAGUAGAACCAUUGGAUCAAAUGGAUUAACCUCUGCAUUGACUCAUCACUCAACAAUUGACUUUAUACAUCUCCUUUAACUAGGGACUAACCAACAACCGGAUGAGAAAUUGUUCUCAGUACUUAGACAGCUAGCUGUAAUACUCUGUUGAGCACACAGAAAUCACAAGAAAAAGCCAAAGUUACUAAGGGAAUGUGAGCACAGCAGAUAGAAGAGGUCCAGGUAUGAUUCACUUGCAUUUCAUUCUUUUUUAGCAAUACUGGAAUUUUGGAGACUGAAAUAAAAUUUCAAGAAGGUACAGAAUUCAUACUUGGGGGAUAAUGUCCUUAUUUUGUCUCCCAAAACAACAGCUAUACUUAGGCCAACCCUGUUGGUUGCCUGGCGUGACUUCUUUAUUGACUUUGUAGUCACCUUAUCACUGAGACAUUGGGGAGAAUAACAAGAAUGUUUCCUCACUUUAAUCCUAAAGGCAGCCCUGCCAAGACUGUCACUAUGACUCCCAUUUUAUAGGAGGAUAACUGAGGCUGACUUGCUCAAGGCCACCCAUCAAGUGUGUGGCUGGAGCCAUGGGAUGAAGAACUCAGGCCUCCUGGGGCAAAGCUGAGUGGCCUCACCGGGUACAAAACUAUUCAACUUCCUUGACGAUAGGGACUCUUUGCUAUCCAUUUUCCACAAAGGAAGAUUAAAGGUGUGCCCUCCAGUCUUCUCAGCCUGUAAACCAAUUUGUUUAAAUGCCCGUAAGAAAAGUCUACUGCCACAACACACAGCCCAGCACAUAACCCACCCCACUGAUUGUAUUCUGUGUUAAAUAGCAUGGCUUUAAAAGAAACAGAGAGGAAAAAAUGCCAUUCCUAAUUCGCAUCCCAUGUGUAAACAGCUUGAGAAAGGCUUAAUGCUACAUCAAUCUGCUUUUUAUAAACAUGCUGUCUAUUAUGCUUGGAGGCUGGCUUAAAGCAGCCUGAAUGGGAGAGAAGGAACACAUCAAGUUAGUGAAGUGGAAAGGUUAAAGUACUGUAUAACCUAUUAACCUUUCAACAUGUGCCUUUGUCCUCCCCAGUCUGCUCUAAGAAUGUUAACUCUUUCCCGUUUCCCCCCUCAGAGCUGAAUUGUCACCCGCCUUGGACAUAAGUGAUUUCAUUUUUGCCUGGCUCGCAUACUGUGUGGCUAUUCUGAUCCCGUUUCAAUGGAAAGUAGCAGUUAGUUAUUUAUCCAUUCAAUUGCUUCUUAUGCUUAGUAGCUCGCAUGAUUCCUUUGGCUCAGGACACUAUGACAUUGUAUUUCAACUUUAAUUAACUUCUAAACAAACUUGUAAGACAGGUUAGCUUUCUCUCUCUGUCUUUCUUGGCAUGUCUUCUGGACCCUCAUCAGUUUGCAUGACGUAGAUGCUAACACAUGUGGCUUUCUCCAAUGCGGACAUGUAUUUUUACAUUCUACCAACUUCUGCUUUUCAUAUCACUGUUAAAGAUACAGCAGUCCAGCUGAGUGGGCCUAAUAUAUUUUACUGCCUGGGGUGAACCAGUAAAUGGCAUCCUGUACCUACUCAAAUCAAGGUGCGUAAUUUCCCAAAGUGGACAAGUUACUUUGUCUUUUGAGGUAGAAAGUCUUACAAGCACGACUUCUAAUUCAUGGCAGUGAAAUAAUACGUUCAUGUCUCACCUUUUCAUGGCACCUAAAACUUUCAAGCUGCAGAGGCUGCUUCACAGAAUGAGAGGACUGGAACCCAGCUCUAACUAUGGUACAGUAGAGUCUCACUUAUCCAAGCUAAACGGGCCGGCAGAAGCUUGGAUAAGCGAAUAUCUUGGAUAAUAAGGAGGGAUUAAGGAAAAGCCUAUUAGACAUAAAAUUAGGUUAUGAUUUUACAAAUUAAGCACCAAAACAUCAUGUUAUAAAACAGAUUUGACAGAAAACGUAGUUCAAUACGCAGUAAUGUUAUGUUGUAAUUACUGUAUUUAUGAAUUUAGCAUUAAAAUAUCACAAUAUAUUGAAAACAUUGACUACAAAAAUGGCUUGGAUAAUCCAGAGGCUUGGAUAAGCGAGGCUUGGAUAAGUGAGACUCUACUGUAUUCGGAAACCCUCAGAGGUAUUAUCUUGCCAUUAUGCUCCAUCCUUAAACCUCUCUUGCUAGCCACUCUCAAGCCUGCAGCUGCUUUUUAUGGGUGAGAAGAUAGAGAAUUCAGGCCACGAAGAUAUGGCUGCUUUGGGCUCCCAGGGGAAGGGAAAAGAGCAUGCACUUCAUCUCUGUGUGAACCUAAUUUCCCUUUCCCUCCCAGCUGAGUUCAGCUGUUACUUCCUAACCUGAUUCCUAUUCUCUCCCCAUCACUGCCAAGUAGUGGCAGCUGAUGAUUCUCCAGGGCUGGACUGCAACACUGUGGCAGCUUAUUAUUGGAUGCCAGCACAGCUAUGCAGCCAAGGAAGACCUUUGCCGAUGAUUCACAAAGGAAGGCAACAUUCAGAGACAUUCUGCCAGCUCUGCAAUAAAAUGGGUCCAAUGUGUUCUGGAUGAGUGAUGCUCCUGCAUGAUACCAUCCUUCCUUCCUUCCUUCUUGGAGAACUAUGAAAGUCUUGCUUGAAAAAUUGGCACUAGCAAAACAUUGAUCACUUUAGAAAAUGCUUGCCGCAAUACUUAAAACUGCACCUGCGAAACCCAAAAGCCACCUUGUAGCAAAUGGAAGGUCAGCCAAUUAAAUGCCUCAUGCCCCGUGAUUUCAGGCAUGAAUAUACAAGGUCUUGAAACAUCCAAUCUGCUAAGGAGGCAAGAUCUGAAAGCCAGUCCAGAGAUGGGGAAAUUAUGUUUUUGUACAACAACUUCCAUGAUGAGGAGGAAAAGACCUUUGAUCCCAGCAGUGAACCCUUCUCAUUUGUGGUUCCCAAAGGAAUUCUUGGAAAGGGUAAAGAUUGGCUACUCCUGCUCUUUUUAUACUUUUAUCUCCCACCAAGAGCAACAAGAAGGGGUUCUGGGUGGUGUUACCAUGAAAUGAGCCCGCACCUUGUAUUUUGAAGUGUCCCAGUUAUGAACCAGCCGGGCAGGAAUAAGAAAGUUGUCGUCCACGUGACAGAAACUGCAAUAGUACCAUCCACUGUAGCUGCAGACUUUUGCCUUGCCAUUGGACAGGCCUAUGGCACGCUGACAACCUGAUAACAGAAAAAUAAAGACUUGGUUGAAAGGCAGAGUUCUAACAUGCACUCAAACUCAAGCUUCACUAACAUAUUAAAAUGCAUCUUAAUAAUGGAACAUUUACACACCACUUGCAAGAAAAAUAACUUACUACCAAAAGAAACACAACAAUAGCUUCAGAUUGGAAAGAAAGAAUGAGGAUUAGUUGCAUGACACACUAUGCUAUUCAUACACUUAAUUUUUAACACCAUAUUUACUUAAACCUAAUCCCCACCCCUUUUUGGCUGAAUCCUUUUACCAAAAUUAGGGUGUGCAUUAGAUUCGCAUAAUACAGUCAUCUUAUUCUUGAGGCAAAGCAAAAGGGGAAGCUGCUUCAGGAACACCUGGAGCUCCUAUUUGAAGGAUGUCAUCUCUAAUUUAAUAGCCAGGGCUCAAUGCUAUGCAAUCCUGGGAUUUGUAGUUUGGUGAAGCAUCAAUAUUCUUUGGCAGAGAAAGAUGAAGGCCUUUUACAACUACAGUAGAGUCUCACUUAUCCAAGACUCGCUUAUCCAACGUUCUGGAUUAUCCAACGCAUUUUUGUAGUCAAUGUUUUUAAUACAUUGUGAUAUUUUGGUGCUAAAUUCGUAAAUACAGUCAUUACUACAUAGCAUUAUUGUGUAUUGAACUACUUUUUCUGUCAAAUUUGUUGUAUAACAUGAUGUUUUGGUGCUUAAUUUGUAAAAUCAUUAACCUAAUUUGAUGUUUAAUAGGCUUUUCCUUAAUCUCUCCUUAUUAUCCAACAUAUUCACUUAUCCAACGUUCUGCCAGCCCAUUUACGUUGGAUAAGCGAGACUCUACUGUACAUGAUUUCAUAACAUUGAGCCAGGGGAGUUAAAGUAGAUUUAUUCUACAGCAUAAAUGCACUCCAAGGUUUUAUUUUCGAUUGCUGGAAGCUUUGGCGUCCAAACACUUGUUUUCAAAGAAGGAAUUCUAAGCAGGCUGUAAUGUGCCCUUUUUUUGACCAAAUUACAGAGUUCACUUUUUGCUGCUACAUUACAUUUGGCAGGAAAUACUUAUUAAGUUUCAAGGUUUUGAAAAUGUACACAUUAGAUUUGAUGGCGCAUUAGAUUCAAGUAAUUAUGGAUAUAUUGCAGAAUUGCUUUAAGAAGUGUUAUACUUUACCAGUUUCACCCAAUUUGCAAUUUGCAGGACGAUCUAAAGCAGGGCAACUUAAUUUUUUCCACUUGCAACCCCAUUCCACCUGAUUAUUUUUUACAUGAUACCAGGCAUAGCAGGGUUGCUUACCGGUAACCAGGUUUCUUAAGAGUGGUCAUCUGUGGAAUCAGCACGUUUGGUAUUGAUUAUGGCUAAGCAAUGCUAUCAGAAACACUCAGCUGUGAAGCUUUGGCUAUAGCCCUACCCAACUUCCCUAGGAGGUAUAUAGGCCCUGGGUGGGGCUGCAGCUGCAGUUCCCCACCACCGAGCAGUGGAAGGAAAAGAGGCAUGACAAUUAGUGGGGAGGAUGCGCCGGGAUGUGCAGAUUCCACAGAUGGCCACUCAAAGAAACCUGGUUACAGAUAAGCAACCCUGCUUUCUCCUUCGCUGUAUCUGU